ensembl:lncRNA
UACACCCCCAGAAACCUUGAACCCUUUUCUUUUCAAAUGUACACAGUUUGAAACAAAAAUAUAAAUAAGCACUUUGUAAGGAGAAUAGGACUAGUCUCUUGCACUAUUCAGUCUCUGAGUGAGGUUUCAGCUCCUAACGACCCGCCCAUUAGCAAAUGACAGCUAUUCAUAUGAUAAGGGUAUGGUAAUUCAGUGUUCGCUAUUGGGUCAUGAUGUGUCAAGAAAACCUGUGCACUGUAAGCCCCAAUAAGUUGAGUUUACUUAAAAAAUUUGAGGAAAGUGGUUGCCUUAAAAACAUCGAGUAAUGUUUAAUGAAAACUUGAGUACAUUUAACUUAAAAUCUAUUGCAAUAUCAACUGCUUUGCAUAGUGACUACACUUAAAGCAUUAAGUUCAAUGAACAUUAAAAUUCCAAGUUGAUUCAACUUAAAAUAUAUUGCAAUACACUAAGCCCAGAUAAGUUGAGUUUACUUAAAAAAAUUGAGGAAAGUGGUUGCCUUAAAAACAUCAAGUAAUGUGUAAUGAAAACUUGAGUACAUUUAACUUAAAAUCUAUUGCAAUAUCAACUGCUUUGCAUAGUGAUUAAACUUAAAGCAUUAAGUUCAAUGCACUUAAUUCCGAAUUCAAAAUUACAAGUGUUUUAUUUCACUUUUAUUUCAACACUUUUUAGAAAACCAAAAAUACAAAAACGUAAAAAAUAAAUAAAAAAAUAAACGUUUUUUUUUUAUUAUUGCAACCAGUUAGCACCUACUUGCAAGCUUGCAUCUUGUGGCAGCUUGCAUUUCCCCAAAUUAAGCAUAACCUGAACGUACACAGACAUUCCUGAUAUAAACAUGGAAAAGGCUCUGUUCUUGCUUAACUUCCAUGUUUUAGUCUAUAAUGUUUAAAUAGCUGUGCUCUCUUUUCACAGCUAUGAGGACAGUACUUGCACUUCCAAAACAUUGUAAAAAAAACAAGAGGAGCGUUUCAAUUAAACAUGCUCCGCAUUCAAGUUGUGACCACGUUAGGUUUACCACGGCUGAUUUGUAGUUUGUUUUUUUGCCAAAUUAAUUACAGACCUAAUUUACUUAAUGCUUUUCAGCUGUCAAGAGCAUUCACAUUCCCACAAUGCACUCUGGUCAUGACUAAAACUCAGUAAUUGAAAGCCGCUUAACUUAAGUUAACAUUUAGGUUAUUCACUCAUUCGACUUUAUCUACAAAGUAGUAGAAUAUACUUAGAAUAUUUUAGUAAUGUCAUCACACUUAGUAGAAUAUACUUUGGUAGUAAUAUCAUAAAACUUAAAUUCUUUAAGUGAAUAAAACUCAGUAAUUGAAAGCCACUUAACUUAAGUUAACACUUAUGUUUACUCAUUCAACUAUAUCUACAAAGUACUUAGAAUUUUGUAGUAAUGUCAUCACACUUAGUAGAAUAUACUUAACAUUUAGUAGUAAUGUCAUAAACUUAAAUUCUUUAAGUGAAAAAAACUC